rnacentral:misc_RNA from 1 species
GAUGAAGAACGUAGCAAAAUGCGAUAAGUAAUGUGAAUUGCAGAAUUCAGUGAAUCAUCGAAUCUUUGAACGCACAUUGCGCCCGCCAGUAUUCUGGCGGGCAUGCCUGUUCGAGCGUCAUUUCAACCCUCAAGCCCAGCUUGGUGUUGGGAGCUGCAGUCCUGCUGCACUCCCCAAAUACAUUGGCGGUCACGUCGAGCUUCCAUAGCGUAGUAAUUUACACAUCGUUACUGGUAAUCGUCGCGGCCACGCCGUUAAACCCCAACUUCUGAAUGUUGACCUCGGAUCAGGUAGGAAUACCCGCUGAACUUAAGCAUAUCAAUAAGCGGAGGA